rnacentral:lncRNA from 1 species
UUGUAGAACACUUUUGGGCACCUUUUGACAACACCAAGUCAGCCACUUAGCUCUUAAAGCUAAUCCUUCCUCAUUAUCCCUUCAUGGAACAACUUCAAGAUUAGUCUUCUAAGGCUUCUUUCAUGACCGCUUCUUAUGUUUCAAGGACUGCUCCAAAUCGCCAUUUCUUCUUGGAAAACUCAUCAAGAAGAGAUGGAAGGCAAAAGCCUGAGAAUAAAUGACAAAAAUAAAGUGUAUGUUACCAAGAAUAAGAGAAUAAGUAACCAAGUAUGAGAGUAUAAAGAGUAUGGACUCAAGAGUGCCAAUGGACAAAGUUCUUAGCUUUGUUUUCUUGAGGUGAGAUUGAGAGUAUGUGGGGUGUGUGAGCAGCCUUGUGAACUCCAAAACGAGCAGUCUUUGUUAUCUACUUCGUGGGCUUCAAGAUCUGCUCCAAACUGCCUUGAUAACUCCAAAACGAGCAGUCUUCAUGAUCUACUUCAAGAGCUUCAAGAACAGCUUCAAAUCGCCAUCUUCUUUGUGGCUUUGAAACCAUGGUUCUCCUAACCAUGGCUCUGAU